UAUCAAUGAUGACAAAUCUUCCGAACCUGACAGUCUGAUGAAAACUCACACGGAUCUGACUUCUGAGAU